UUGGGUCUGGCUCUUGUCUAUGUUUCUUGGAACAGAACGUCACAGAGGGUGAGAAUCCCGUGCGAUGAGAUGUCCCAGACCUAUGUAAAGUUCCUUCGAAGAGUCGAGUUGUUUGGGAAUGCAGCUCUAAGUGGGUGGUAAAUUCCAUCUAAAGCUAAAUAUUGGCGAGAGACCGAUAGCGAACAAGUACAGUGAUGGAAAGAUGAAAAGAACUUUGAAAAGAGAGUGAAAAAGUACGUGAAAUUGUUGAAAGGGAAGGGCUUGAGAUCAGACUUGGUAUUUUGUAUGUUACUCUCUCGGGGGUGGCCUCUACAGUUUACCGGGCCAGCAUCAGUUUGGGCGGUAGGACAAUUGCAAAGAAAUGUGGCACUGCCU
rnacentral:rRNA from 1 species